UACGGGGGGAGCAAGCGUUGUUCGGAUUUACUGGGCGUAAAGGGCGCGUAGGCGGUCAGUGCAAGUCAGUUGUGAAAUCUCCGGGCUUAACUCGGAAAGGUCAACUGAUACUGCUCGACUAGAGUGCGGAAGGGGCAACUGGAAUUCUUGGUGUAGCGGUGAAAUGCGUAGAUAUCAAGAGGAACACCUGCGGCGAAGGCGGGUUGCUGGGCCGACACUGACGCUGAGACACGAAAGCGUGGGUAGCAAACAGG
rnacentral:rRNA from 1 species